AACCUUAUGGACCUGCGGGCGUAUACCUGCGGAAGGAUCAUUACAGAGUUGCAAAACUCCCUAAACCAUUGUGAACGUUACCUAAACCGUUGCUUCGGCGGGCGGCCCGGGUCCUUCCCGGCGCCCCUCGGCCCUCGCGGGCGCCCGCCGGAGGUAAACCAAACUAUUGCAUUGUAUGGCCUCUCUGAGUCUUCUGUACUGAAUAAGUCAAAACUUUCAACAAUGGAUCUCAGAUCGGAA
rnacentral:misc_RNA from 1 species